CAAGGACUUCCUACCGGGGAGGCCAGGCAGUAAGGAAUCUCGUCAUUGGACGAAAGUCUGAACGAAGCAUGACGCGUGAGUGAAGAACGUUUUUCGAUCGUAAAACUCUGUUGUUAGAAGAAGACAAAGGGACGUUAGUAACUGAAACGUCCCCUGACGGUAUCUAAACCAGAAAGCCACGGGCUAAACUACGUGCCAGCAGCCGCGGUAAUACGUAGGUGGCAAGCGUUGUCCGGAUUUAUUGGGCGUAAAGCGAGCGCAGGCGGUUUCUUAAGUCUGAUGUGAAAGCCCCCCGGCUCAACCGGGGAGGGUCAUUGGAAACUGGGAGACUUGAGUGCAGAAGAGGAGAGUGGAAUUCCAUGUGUAGCGGUGAAAUGCGUAGAUAUAUGGAGGAACACCAGUGGCGAAGGCGGCUCUCUGGUCUGUAACUGACGCUGAGGCUCGAAAGCGUGGGGAGCAAACAGGAUUAGAUACCCUGGUAGUCCACGCCGUAAACGAUGAGUGCUAAGUGUUGGAGGGUUUCCGCCCUUCAGUGCUGCAGCAAACGCAUUAAGCACUCCGCCUGGGGAGUACGACCGCAAGGUUGAAACUCAAAGGAAUUGACGGGGGCCCGCACAAGCGGUGGAGCAUGUGGUUUAAUUCGAAGCAACGCGAAGAACCUUACCAGGUCUUGACAUCCUUUGACCACUCUAGAGAUAGAGCUUUCCCUUCGGGGACAAAGUGACAGGUGGUGCAUGGUUGUCGUCAGCUCGUGUCGUGAGAUGUUGGGUUAAGUCCCGCAACGAGCGCAACCCUUAUUGUUAGUUGCCAUCAUUUAGUUGGGCACUCUAGCGAGACUGCCGGUGACAAACCGGAGGAAGGUGGGGAUGACGUCAAAUCAUCAUGCCCCUUAUGACCUGGGCUACACACGUGCUACAAUGGGAAGUACAACGAGUCGCUAGACCGCGAGGUCAUGCAAAUCUCUUAAAGCUUCUCUCAGUUCGGAUUGCAGGCUGCAACUCGCCUGCAUGAAGCCGGAAUCGCUAGUAAUCGCGGAUCAGCACGCCGCGGUGAAUACGUUCCCGGGCCUUGUACACACCGCCCGUCACACCACGAGAGUUUGUAACACCCGAAGUCGGUGAGGUAACCUUUUUGGAGCCAGCCGCCUAAGGUGGGAUAGAUGAUUGGGGUGAAGUCGAGCAACGUAUGC
rnacentral:rRNA from 1 species